AUUGAACGCUGGCGGCAUGCCUUACACAUGCAAGUCGAACGGUAACAGGUCUCCGGAUGCUGACGAGUGGCGAACGGGUGAGUAAUACAUCGGAACGUGCCCGAGAGUGGGGGAUAACGAAGCGAAAGCUUUGCUAAUACCGCAUACGAUCUCAGGAUGAAAGCAGGGGACCGCAAGGCCUUGCGCUCACGGAGCGGCCGAUGGCAGAUUAGGUAGUUGGUGGGAUAAAAGCUUACCAAGCCGACGAUCUGUAGCUGGUCUGAGAGGACGACCAGCCACACUGGGACUGAGACACGGCCCAGACUCCUACGGGAGGCAGCAGUGGGGAAUUUUGGACAAUGGGCGCAAGCCUGAUCCAGCCAUGCCGCGUGCAGGAUGAAGGCCUUCGGGUUGUAAACUGCUUUUGUGCGGAACGAAAAGACUCUGGUUAAUACCUGGGGUCCAUGACGGUACCGUAAGAAUAAGCACCGGCUAACUACGUGCCAGCAGCCGCCGUAA
rnacentral:rRNA from 1 species